rnacentral:rRNA from 1 species
GAUGAACGCUGGCGGCGUGCCUAAUACAUGCAAGUCGAGCGAACAGACGAGGAGCUUGCUCCUCAGACGUUAGCGGCGGACGGGUGAGUAACACGUGGAUAACCUACCUAUAAGACUGGGAUAACUUCGGGAAACCGGAGCUAAUACCGGAUAAUAUAUUGAACCGCAUGGUUCAAUAGUGAAUGACGGUUUUGCUGUCACUUAUAGAUGGAUCCGCGCCGCAUUAGCUAGUUGGUAAGGUAACGGCUUACCAAGGCAACGAUGCGUAGCCGACCUGAGAGGGUGAUCAGCCACACUGGAACUGAGACACGGUCCAGACUCCUACGGGAGGCAGCAGUAGGGAAUCUUCCGCAAUGGGCGAAAGCUUGACGGAGCAACGCCGCGUGAGUGAUGAAGGUCUUCGGAUCGUAAAACUCUGUUAUUAGGGAAGAACAAAUGUGUAAGUAACUAUGCACGUCCUGACGGUACCUAAUCAGAAAGCCACGGCUAACUACGUG